UACGUAGGUGGCAAGCGUUGUCCGGAAUUACUGGGUGUAAAGCGCGUGUAGGCGGGAGGCCAAGUCUGCUGUGAAAUCGCCCGGCUCAACUGGGCGGGGUCGGUGGAAACUGGUCACCUGGAGGACGGUAGAGGCGAGUGGAAUUCCCGGUGUAGUGGUGAAAUGCGUAGAGAUCGGGAGGAACACCAGUGGCGAAGGCGGCUCGCUGGGCCGGUCCUGACGCUGAGACGCGAAGGCGUGGGGAGCGAACGGG
rnacentral:rRNA from 1 species